AUGUGCAAGUUAAACGUAUGUCCAAUAAUUACUAAUAUUAAGUUUAUAAUGUUGGCACAGUCUGUUAUUGCCGUUAUCUUCUUGGGAGUACUUGAGAAGGCGUGGCUGGGAAUGUGGGGACAUGCCAUGGCAGAGGCGCAUGGUCGGCAGGAGGAGUCAGGGAGGCCUGAAGGUGGACAUGUGGAUGUUAUCGCGGCAUUGACACAUUUCGCUCCACCGAUGCUACAUACCAGGGAUUUGUUGGAAGCCACAGAGCGCACCCGAGAAAGAGAGGAGGAGAAUGCUCUGAAGAGAGGAAAUGAUAAGUUUUAUUGUUUUGUUUUAAGAGAAAGGGAUUUGAUAUGUAGUCCUCUGGCUUAUUUGUAUUCUACUAUGUGUAUGGCCAAAGAAAUCAUGAUUUCAUACACAUAUAUUUUUAAACAAAACCCUAUGUAUGUUUUGCUCAAACAGUGUCAUUGGAAAGCGCUCAUAUUUUCAAUGCGUACAUGA
rnacentral:rRNA from 1 species